rnacentral:tRNA from 1 species
ACUUAAAUAGCUUAUGAUUUAGAGCGCGACACUGAAGAUGUCGAUGAGGUGUUUUAGUUACCUUUGAGUA